AAUAAUUAAAAACCAUAUUACUAGUGUGCACUUCGAAACAGAAAGUGGUAGGAGUUAAGUACAACAGUAACACUCCUAAUCAGAGCAUAAAGUCUAGGUGCAGUCCAGUCGGACAAGUACUAAUUAUACAGUACCAGGAAUGUCCUACUCUUAUAAGAAUAAGUCAGAACUGCCGACGUCCUCUCUAGCCACUAACAUCAAUCUUACUUAAAACCUGGAGGGGCGCAAAACAGAAAACGUGAGUGGGUAAAAACAAAUGUUUUACAAAAUCAUUUCAUUUAUCAACAUACUAACCCUUCUCUGUAAAACAUAUAUUAAUUUCCCAGAAUCAAGAUGUAAGCAUAUACACAUAUAUAAAUAUCUGACAUCAUAACCAUUCAAUUCAUGCUUCACAUAAUCAUUUUCAUAUGUAUGCCAUGCCAAAAUAUAAUAAGUAACAAUCCAGGUAAUAAUGAUUUCAUAGAAGUAUGACAUGUUAGCCGGAACUCUUGAGUAGUCUGUACGGCUGAAUUCAUAGCUCAAACUCAAUCUAGCCGGAGUCACUACUAUGACCUAUAUGGCAAUAUACUGCACAUAAGUCGGAACCACUAAAAAGGGGUCUGUACGACAAGAUUUGGGUGAGAUACAGUUAUGCUCAAUUCUAAUUUCUCAAUACUAGCUGUGCGAUAAUACGUUAGUCACCUACGAGUCGGAACCACCUAUAGUGGUCUGUACAACAAGACUGUGCACCUAAAUUGGAUCCAAUGUGAGCAUAUGGUGCGGGAGGUGACAUAAUAUACAGGCUUGUGCCAACUCUCUCUGGCUAAAUCGCAAUCACUCGAGGUGCAGGUUUAUGAGCUCAUUGUUUCUUAGUCACAUCUCAUAUAUCCAACCAACCAUGUUUAUCACGCUACUCAGUUCUUCAAAUAAACUUAUAUCUCAAUUAUUUCAUGUCAUAUAUUGUAAGGUUGCACCUAACAUUUUGUUAGACUGCCUACGUACCCCAAACAGGGAUCAAGCCGUUCAUAGUUCACAUAUACCAAACGUAACUUACUUGUGCCUCCACAGCACCACAAUUAUAUAUAUAUGCAACCAUGAAAUGCAUAUUCAAAAUAUAAUGGCAUUUGGCAUAUUAUUUCAAAGCAUAUUUUCAUUUAAAACACAUUUUUGGGAAUUAUAUCAAGUAUAUAAUUAUAUACUGAAAACAAAAGCCCACUCACUGAUAAGUCGAAUGGUCGUAACCCCUGAUUCGCCUGUGGAUACGCUCGUCCUCGAGAUAAGUCUCACCUAUAUGCAAAUAAACUAUAAAAACAUUAUUUUAAAACACAUAGGCAAAACUAGCUAAUAACUUCUCAUACAUUGCUCAAUUUGGGUAUAUGAAUAUACGAUAGUGACCUACUCGACGUCACGGACGUCGAGAUAUUUUUUAAAUAAUUUUUCAUCGUCGCAUGUGCCCCCACACGCCGGGAGGGGUACGGUGCUACGCGCCCCCACGCGCAUCAUCCCUACCUCUAGACGCCGGAAAAUCUCGCUGACGCCUGAAACUGGGCAAACCUGUAAAUGCCGAUUUCUCACUCGUUUCUACACCGUUUUCCACGAAAUUUUCACCAAAAAUUCACAAAUUUUGAGAGGAAGAAGGCUAUACCUUUUAAAACUUCCAAAUCAUUCGAAAACUCGUCGGGAUAAUUUCGCCAGAACCGACCACCUUCAAACUAGGGCUUCCCGACGUCCAAAACUUCCAAACGAACGUCCCUGAGCUUUGUGGGAACCUCCUAGAGCUCACUGUGAGCUUGGAUUGUCCUAAAAACCAACCAUUACAAAGUUCGUGAACAAUGCUAAAUUCGGAGUUUGAUAUUUCGACGUGAAAUUGAAAGGUUUCUUACCUGAAAAUGAUACCCCUCGACUCGCCACACCAUGAGGAAUACAAUGGUACCUUCAACACCUUCAAUCUAUGAAAAUUUAAGGGUCUUUGGGUGUGGUCCGUACGUGAGGG
rnacentral:lncRNA from 1 species